GAUGAACGCUGGCGGCGUGCUUAACACAUGCAAGUCGAACGAAGCAAUUGGAGUGCUUGCACUUUGAUUGACUGAGUGGCGGACGGGUGAGUAACGCGUGGGUAACCUGCCUCACACAGGGGGACAACAGUUGGAAACGACUGCUAAUACCGCAUAAGCGCACAGUAUCGCAUGAUACAGUGUGAAAAACUCCGGUGGUGUGAGAUGGACCCGCGUCUGAUUAGCUAGUUGGUAAGGUAACGGCUUACCAAGGCGACGAUCAGUAGCCGGCCUGAGAGGGUGAACGGCCACAUUGGGACUGAGACACGGCCCAA
rnacentral:rRNA from 1 species